AGGGCACCACCAGGAGUGGAGCCUGCGGCUUAAUUUGACUCAACACGGGAAAACUUACCCGGCCCGGACACUGGAAGGAUUGACAGAUUGAGAGCUCUUUCUUGAUUCAGUGGGUGGUGGUGCAUGGCCGUUCUUAGUUGGUGGAGCGAUUUGUCUGGUUAAUUCCGAUAACGGACGAGACUCUAGCCUACUAAAUAGACCAGAGGCUUCUUAAAACACGUCUCUGGCUGCUUCUUAGAGGGACAGGCGGCGAUUCAGCCGCACGAAACAGAGCAAUAACAGGUCUGUGAUGCCCUUAGAUGUCCGGGGCCGCACGCGCGCUACACUGAAGUGAUCAGCGUGCUUUUUGUACCCUGCUCUGCCAAGAGUGGGUAACCCAAUGAACCUUCUUCGUGAUUGGGAUAGGGGAUUGUAAUUAUUCCCCUUGAACGAGGAAUUCCCAGUAAGCGCGAGUCAUAAGCUCGCGUUGAUUACGUCCCUGCCCUUUGUACACACCGCCCGUCGCUACUACCGAUUGAA
rnacentral:rRNA from 1 species